ACAUAGCUCAGGUGGUAGAGCAUGAGACUCUUGAUCUUAGGGUAGUGUGUUCGAGCCCCACGUUAAGCA